GCCGCGGUAAUACGGAGGGGGUUAGCGUUGUUCGGAAUUACUGGGCGUAAAGCGCACGUAGGCGGACUGGAAAGUUGGGGGUGAAAUCCCGGGGCUCAACCUCGGAACUGCCUCCAAAACUAUCAGUCUAGAGUUCGAGAGAGGUGAGUGGAAUUCCAAGUGUAGAGGUGAAAUUCGUAGAUAUUUGGAGGAACACCAGUGGCGAAGGCGGCUCACUGGCUCGAUACUGACGCUGAGGUGCGAAAGUGUGGGGAGCAAACAGGAUUAGAUACCCUGGUAGUCCACGCCGUAAACGAUGGACACUAGUUGUUGGGUUUUGGCUCAGUGACUAAGCGAAAGUGAUAAGUGUCCCACCUGGGGAGUACGAUCGCAAGAUUGAAACUCAAAGGAAUUGACGGGGGCCCGCACAAGCGGUGGAGCAUGUGGUUUAAUUCGAUGAUACGCGAGGAACCUUACCAGGGCUUAAAUGUGGUCUGACAGCUUUAGAGAUAGAGUUUUCUUCGGACCACUUACAAGGUGCUGCAUGGUU
rnacentral:rRNA from 1 species